rnacentral:rRNA from 1 species
AGCAGCCGCGGUAACUCCAGCUCCAAUAGCGUAUAUUAAAGUUGUUGCGGUUAAAAAGCUCGUAGUUGAAUUUCGGGAUCAAUACGUCUGUCGUGCCUUUGGUACGUACGGGUGUAAUUGGUUUCUACCUUCUGAGGAUCCUUGAUGUCAUUAAUUUGGUGUCUUGGGGAAUCAGGACUGUUACCUUGAAAAAAUUAGAGUGUUUAAAGCAGGCAUACGCUUGAAUACAUUAGCAUGGAAUAAUGAAAUAGGACGUUCGAUUCUAUUUUGUUGGUUUCUAGGAUCGACGUAAUGAUUAAUAGGGAUAGUUGGGGGCAUUAGUAUUCAAUUGUCAGAGGUGAAAUUCUUGGAUUUAUUGAAAACUAACUACUGCGAAAGCAUUUGCCAAGGAUGUUUUCAUUAAUCAAGAACGAAGUUAGGGAUCGAAAGACGAUCAGAUACCGUCUAGUCUUAACCAUAAACUAUGCCGACUAGGGAUCGGAUGAUGUUAAUUUUUAAUGUACUCAUUCGGCGCCUUACG